CUUCAUAUGGAGCAUUUCUUGUAAGCUGUUUUUUUUUUAAUGCCUGUUCUUUUGUUGUUUAUAGAGUCAGUUUUUUGAACGAUGGAGUCAGAUCCCACUUGAAAUCAAAAAGGAGGCUGGACAGCGGAUGAAAAUCUGUGUCUUUUGGCUUCCUAUUCUAUUGCAGCGGGACGAGUCCAGCAAUGCUGUUUGCUGGGCUGCAGAAAUAGGUCUAAUCAGCUCAAAGAACACAGAGGACCUACGUCUGAAGCACCUGCGCAAGAUUGAGACAGUGGAGACAAUCCUCAGAGCCUUGGAGCAAGGAUCUUUGAAAAAGGACCAAAGCAAACAUGUUAAACUUGCAUCGCACCGUUGAGGUUUUGGAUGAUGCCUUACACUGGUUGGAGCAAACGGAAGAACCUGACGUACGCACUCGCCUGAUGGAUCUCGGCCACGGACACACCUGCUUCACAGCUCUUCACUUUAUCUUCACAGAGUGUAGGUUACAGUCAUGCUCAGCGCUCUGCUUUCAUCCACUCACUCUUCUCGUCAUUCAUGUGAAGCUAUUGAUUCUUGUUUUGUUUAGUUGCCAAGUAUAUUCAAGACAUGGGAGGACGCCAUGAAAAGACCAUGAAGUCACUGAUGGCUAAACCUGGAAGUUAUUCUAUAGAAUAAAUAAUAUAAUAUUAUAUUUAUAUAAUAAUAU
ensembl:lncRNA